ACAUUGGUGGUUCAGUGGUAGAAUUCUCACCUGCCAUGCGGAAGCCCUGGGUUUGUAUCCCAGUCCAUGCA
rnacentral:tRNA from 1 species